rnacentral:rRNA from 1 species
GACGACGCUGGCGGCGUGGAUUAGGCAUGCAAGUCGGACGUAGGGCUUUAUCGUAAGAUAGAGUUUGAGAGUGGCGAACGGGUGAGUAACACGUAGGAAUCUACCCUUAAGACGGGGACAACCCAGGGAAACUUGGGCUAAUACCGGAUGAGAGUGCGAGAGAUUGCAUUUAAAAGGAUGGCGAAAGUUGUCGCUUAGGGAUGAGCCUGCGGUCUAUUAGUUAGUUGGUGAGGUAAGAGCUCACCAAGGCGAUGAUAGAUAGGCGGCCUUAACGGGUGGUCGCCCACACUGGGAUUGAGAUACGGCCCAGACUCCUACGGGAGGCAGCAGUCGAGAAUAGUCUACAAUGGCCGGAAGGCUGAUAGUGCGACGCCGCGUGAACGAGGGAGCCCUUCGGGUGUAAAGUUCUUUUCUAUACGAGCAGUGCUAUAUAUAUGGAUAGUAUAUAUAGAGGGAUAGUAGUAUAGGAAUAAGCAACGGCUAACUCCGUG